GCUGGCGGCUUCUAUUUUUAUUACGCGUGCUCCUCUCCCGGGAGGAGGAGGGGGCGAGGCUGGAGCGAUGCCUCGAGGGCGGAGCCCCCAGAGAUGCAGCCUCUUCAUUGCGCUUUUAUUCCAGCCCCUCCCAGCCCCGUGUCUGGGCCCUUUGAGGCUCCCCAAGGCCUAAGCCAACAGGGAUGUUUGCAGUGACCAGGUGUGCUUGUCUCGGCUGGUCACAGGGUCGCAGCCCAGUACCCUGGAAGAGGAACCCAGGAUCAAAUGGAUUAGGACAACCACCGGGGGAGGGGCCGGCCCUACGGAGGAAAUGAAAAUAGUUGCAGUUUCAUUUGCUUUAAGCACGGCCCUCGUAAUAAAUGCACACAGCAAAUGUGCUGAGCAAACACCUCGGCAUUCAUCAAUAUGCGGGGGCUGUUUAUUGCCUCAUAAACUUGGAAGCAAGUGAUAUUGUCUCCUAAAUCAAUGGCUGCGCGGACAGCCUUGGGGCUCCAGAACUGCUCGGCCAGGCCGCGCCCGCGCUGAAAUUAAUGGCUAGAGCACUGACUGCAAGGUGCUUAGUCACUGCCGAGGGGAUUAGGAUCCAUUCCAGGGGACAGCAGCCAACGUGUUCUGUGCAGCAGGAGGAGGAACUGUCAGGCAAGAAGACAGAGAAAAUCUAGAUUCCUGCCUCUGCUUGCGAGGGACGCUUGCUUUCCUCUUCUAUGCUCACAGAAUCGCAGCCUUGGGCGAUUAAUCCUGAUAACACCAAGAGAGACCCGAAUACUUGCUGUAUCAUUUAAUGACUCUUGGCAGAAAGGAAAAACACUUCACUUGAACACGGUAUUUUAAAAAUAGGUAUUUUACUAACUUUCAUGGGAAAUUUAACUAUUUGAUGAAAUGCCUUUGUAUAUUACUUGGCUGAUUUUCAUUUGUACUUAACAAUUUGUCUUAAAGAUGAUACAUGAAAAUGAGAUGAAAAUAUACAAUGUUCCCCAUAAACCAAACCUAGGAGAGAUGAAGUGUUGCCCCAGUGAAACUGCUGAAUUCAAUGAAUUUUAAUUACUUUUUGUCCCCACAGGCUCCCCCGCCCCCACCUUAAUUUCUUCUAUUUUCCUGUUAGGUUGCAAUCAUUAAUUUCAAGUUUGGUCCCAUACUAUCCAUGAAAUGAAACAAAAUGUGUGACAGCCGAGAUGAUUCAGUGCCACCUUUGACUAAGCAGGCAAGCGUCCUUUUCAAUGCCAGCCUAUGCCCGUGCCCUGGUGGGAAGGUGGUGGGGAUGGCCCAUGGCCCUCUCAGGAGCCGCCCGCUUCCACGCCCUUAGACCACAGUCCUCCUAGUGAUGGGCUGCCCGCCGUCUCAGGAGGCAGCUCCUGUCCCCUACUUUCAACUCUCAGGUUGUCCGGAAACCACACUCUUGACUCUGAACAUAUCAGCAGCCCAUGGAUUCCUUUUCACAGGGCAGCAGUAACUUACCAGGAUACAUGUUUUCC